rnacentral:snRNA from 1 species
GAGGAGGUCAGUGCUUUCAAGUACAUGCUAACAAGAUAACACGCAGGGAGACACAUUUAGGCGGUGAUGGGGGUAAGUU